rnacentral:piRNA from 1 species
UGUCACAGGUGGUAUUAUUGUCAGUGAAC